UUUCAGAAAUGAUCUUGUAGGUCAUUGUGGCGCUUCGUAGGUUGGUUCUCGACCACUCGUUUUCUCCAGGUUUUGGACGGUUCGGCACAAGAUAGGAUGAAGACUUUUUGGGGUUAAGGAGACACAUUAAUUAAAUGAAUGGGUCAGCUUAUGAGACUCGUUGUUGGAGUUUGGGAAUGCCUGAGGCCAGGCGCGUAGAGGUUCAUUAUGGACCAUACACAAGUCAAGGACGAUGUGGUGGUUAAGGAGAAUGAGAGCCAUGCUUCUUUGAUGUCAUUGGCACAUGAAAAAUAUAGGGUAGACCCAAUAAAGCCAGUGUCAUUUACGUACGACACGUCCUAGACUAGAUGAAAAUCCUGGAGAUUAUACCACACCACAUGUUGAUAUUCUAGAGGAUGGGGAUGUGGAGCUUUUCAUGGCUGUAAGACUUGACUACGUCAAAAUGAAGAUUUUCCUGUCUAUUGGUCACAGCAAUGUCGAACGUUACAAAACAAAGAGGAAAGAAUGAUGAGGAGGAUAGCACAAGAGGUGUGACCUAAACUAAUACCUUGGAGACGUGAAUAUACCUUCCUUUUUAGCUUGUACCAGCUAACAAACUAAGUUGAAUGUUAACAAUAUGUGUUUCCUUACAAGUAUAAGGGAGCACAGGUGGAUCCACGCAAGCGAGGAAGUUCUUAUGAAUAUAUGCAGUGCAGAGGAAAAGGAAAAGAUUCAGAGAAUGACACUGUGGGGGGGGGAACUGAAUCAUUCAUUGACUCAUCUAAUGAAGGGGAAGUGCUGGGUCCUCUACGACAUAUGGAUUGAAUAAUCUGCCUAGAUGAGGGUGAUGAAAUUGUUUCCCAUCACCCUAGUCUAACCUUCACUAUGAUAAGUUGGAAAUAUGGAAGACGAAAGAGUAACCAACAUGGUAGCUGAC